GACGAACGCUGGCGGCGUGCUUAACACAUGCAAGUCGAACGAUGACGACCGAGCUUGCUCGGUCUGAUUAGUGGCGAACGGGUGAGUAACACGUGAGCAACCUGCCCUUCACUCUGGGAUAACCUCGGGAAAUCGGGGCUAAUACCGGAUAUGAGCUCCUGUCGCAUGGCGGGUGUUGGAAAGUUUUUCGGUGAAGGAUGGGCUCGCGGCCUAUCAGUUUGUUGGUGAGGUAGUGGCUCACCAAGGCGAUGACGGGUAGCCGGCCUGAGAGGGCGACCGGCUACACUGGGACUGAGACACGGCCCAGACUCCUACGGGAGGCAGCAGUGGGGAAUAUUGCACAAUGGGCGAAAGCCUGAUGCAGCGACGCCGCGUGAGGGAUGACGGCCUUCGGGUUGUAAACCUCUUUCAGCAGGGAAGAAGCGAAAGUGACGGUACCUGCAGAAGAAGCGCCGGCUAACUACGUG
rnacentral:rRNA from 1 species